AACCUACAAAAUAUAUAGCAUUUAUGCCACAAGGGAAUACUCACUUGCAGCCAGCAAGAAAAGCACAUACGGCAACCUCAGGAAUCAUAAAGUGCAAUUAAGAGCAAAAGGGGUCUACAGUUUUAAAAGAUAGGAAUGAUGUGAGCAUGCACAGUUGCGACUUAUGGACACCAUUACCGUCACAUAGGGCGUAAGGCUUCAACAACAGGGAGUCUCAUAACAAGCUCUUGCAAGCUUGAGCAAAUGAUGCCUGAAGCGGUUCCUGAGUGAAAUUGGGAGGUCAAGCACUUUCCAAUGCAGCAACUAAAGGUGUAAUGAUGAGCAGAGGUACUCCAUGCCGGUAAA